AGAGUUUGAUCCUGGCUCAGAACGAACGCUGGCGGCGUGCUUAAUACAUGCAAGUCGUACGAGAACGGUUAACUUCGGUCGACCUAGUAAAGUGGCGAACGGGUGAGUAACACGUGAGAAACAUGCCCUAAUGUCUGGGAUACGCCUGCGAAAGCGGGUCUAAUACCGGAUACAGUCAACGAAUGGCAUCUUUUGUUGAUUAAAGAUGGCUGAGUCUAUGCCAUCGCAGAAGGAUUGUCUCGCGCUCCAUUAGCUUGAUGGUGAGGGUAACGGCCCACCAUGGCGACGAUGGAUAGCCGGCCUGAGAGGGUGAUCGGCCACACUGGGACUGAGAUACGGCCCAGACUCCUACGGGAGGCAGCAGUAGGGAAUAUUGCGCAAUGGACGAAAGUCUGACGCAGCAACGCCGCGUGGAUGAUGAAGCUCCUUGGAGCGUAAAAUCCUGUCAGUGGGGAAGAACCGUAAGGAUAGGAAAUGAUCUUUACCUGACUGUACCCGCAGAGGAAGUUCCGGCUAACUCCGUGCCAGCAGCCGCGGUAAUACGGGGGGAACAAGCGUUGUUCGGAUUCACUGGGCGUAAAGAGCACGUAGGCGGAAGGAUAAGUCAGAUGUGAAAUCCCGGGGCUCAACCGCGGGUCUGCAUUUGAUACUGUUUUUCUUGAGUACGAGAGAGGAUGGCGGAAUUCCUGGUGUAGCGGUGAAAUGCGUAGAUAUCAGGAAGAACACCGGUGGCGAAGGCGGCCAUCUGGCUCGAUACUGACGCUGAGGUGCGAAGGCUGGGGGAGCAAACAGGAUUAGAUACCCUGGUAGUCCCAGCAGUAAACGAUGGGUACUAGGUGGUGGAGGUAUUGACCCCUUCACUGCCGCAGCUAACGCAUUAAGUACCCCGCCUGGGGAGUACGAUCGCAAGAUUGAAACUCAAAGGAAUUGACGGGGGCCCGCACAAGCGGUGGAGUAUGUGGUUUAAUUCGACGCAACGCGAAGAACCUUACCUGGGUUUGACAUGUUUGAGAAAGCUACAGAGAUGUAGUCCUCUCUUCGGAGACUCUUACACAGGUGCUGCAUGGCUGUCGUCAGCUCGUGCCGUGAGGUGUUGGGUUAAGUCCCGCAACGAGCGCAACCCUUGUCUCUAGUUGCCAUUUGAAUUCGUUCAAGGAACUCUAGAGAGACUGCCAGCGACAAGCUGGAGGAAGGUGGGGAUGACGUCAAGUCCUCAUGGCCCUUACAUCCAGGGCUACACACGUACUACAAUGGUCGGUACAGAGGGUCGCAAGAUCGCAAGAUGGAGCUAAUCCUUAAAACCGGCCUCAGUUCAGAUUGGAGUCUGCAACUCGACUCCAUGAAGGUGGAAUCGCUAGUAAUCGCAGAUCAGCACGCUGCGGUGAAUACGUUCCCGGGCCUUGUACACACCGCCCGUCAAGCCAUGGGAGCUGGGGGUACCCGAAGCCGAUUGCUUAACUUUUCGGAGAUGGCAACGUCGAAGGUAAAACCGGUGACUGGGGCUAAGUCGUAACAAGGUA
rnacentral:rRNA from 1 species